rnacentral:rRNA from 1 species
AGAGUUUGAUCAUGGCUCAGGACGAAUGCUGGCGGCGUGCCUAAUACAUGCAAGUCGAGCGGAUCUUCUGCAUUCUUCGGAAUGCAGUUGGUUAGCGGCGGACGGGUGAGUAACACGUAGGCAACCUGCCCACAAGACUGGGAUAACGUUCGGAAACGAACGCUAAUACCGGAUAAGAAGUUUCCUCGCAUGAGGGGACUCGGAAAGACGGUGCAAGCUGUCACUUGUGGAUGGGCCUGCGGCGCAUUAGCUAGUUGGUGGGGUAACGGCUCACCAAGGCGACGAUGCGUAGCCGACCUGAGAGGGUGAUCGGCCACACUGGGACUGAGACACGGCCCAGACUCCUACGGGAGGCAGCAGUAGGGAAUCUUCGGCAAUGGACGAAAGUCUGACCGAGCAACGCCGCGUGAGUGAUGAAGGGUUUCGGCUCGUAAAACUCUGUUGCCAAGGAAGAACGCUUGCGGGAGUAACUGUCCGUGAGGUGACGGUACUUGAGAAGAAAGCCCCGGCUAACUACGUGCCAGCAGCCGCGGUAAUACGUAGGGGGCAAGCGUUGUCCGGAAUUAUUGGGCGUAAAGCGCGCGCAGGCGGUCGUUUAAGUCUGGAGUUUAAACCUAGGGCUCAACCUUGGGUCGCUCUGGAAACUGGGGGACUGGAGUGUAGGAGAGGAAAGUGGAAUUCCACGUGUAGCGGUGAAAUGCGUAGAGAUGUGGAGGAACACCAGUGGCGAAGGUGACUUUCUGGCCUAUAACUGACGCUGAGGCGCGAAAGCGUGGGGAGCAAACAGGAUUAGAUACCCUGGUAGUCCACGCCGUAAACGAUGCAUGCUAGGUGUUAGGGGUUUCGAUACCCUUGGUGCCGAAGUAAACACAGUAAGCAUGCCGCCUGGGGAGUACGCUCGCAAGAGUGAAACUCAAGGA